UACGUAGGGUGCGAGCGUUAAUCGGAAUUACUGGGCGUAAAGCGUGCGCAGGCGGUUUUGUAAGCCAGAUGUGAAAGCCCGGGGCUUAACUCCGGGUCUGCAUUCGAUACGGGUCUGCUGGGGUCCGGCAGGGGAGACUGGAAUUCCUGGUGUAGCGGUGAAAUGCGCAGAUAUCAGGAGGAACACCGGUGGCGAAGGCGGGUCUCUGGGCCGGUACCGACGCUGAGGAGCGAAAGCGUGGGGAGCGAACAGG
rnacentral:rRNA from 1 species